CCUACGGGUGGCAGCAGUGAGGAAUAUUGGUCAAUGGACGAGAGUCUGAACCCUCCCCGUCUCUUUCCUUCUUCCUUCCCUCUUUUUUUUCCCCUUCUUUUAUCUUGGAAUAAAAUGUUCCACGUGUGGGAUUUUGUAUGUACCAUAUGAAUAAGGAUCGGCUAACUCCGUGCCAGCAGCCGCGGUAAUACGGAGGAUCCGAGCGUUAUCCGGAUUUAUUGGGUUUAAAGGGAGCGUAGGUGGAUUGUUAAGUCAGUUGUGAAAGUUUGCGGCUCAACCGUAAAAUUGCAGUUGAAACUGGCAGUCUUGAGUACAGUAGAGGUGGGCGGAAUUCGUGGUGUAGCGGUGAAAUGCUUAGAUAUCACGAAGAACUCCGAUUGCGAAGGCAGCUCACUGGACUGCAACUGACACUGAGGCUCGAAAGUGUGGGUAUCAAACAGGAUUAGAUACCCCAGUAGUC
rnacentral:rRNA from 1 species